GACGAACGCUGGCGGCGUGCUUAACACAUGCAAGUCGAACGGUGAAGGGAGCUUGCUCCCGGAUCAGUGGCGAACGGGUGAGUAACACGUGAGCAACCUACCCUUGACUCUGGGAUAACAGUUGGAAACAGCUGCUAAUACCGGAUAUGACCUCAGAGGGCAUCCUCAGAGGUGGAAAGCUCCGACGGUCAAGGAUGGGCUCGCGGCCUAUCAGCUUGUUGGUGGGGUAACGGCCCACCAAGGCGACGACGGGUAGCCGGCCUGAGAGGGCGACCGGCCACACUGGGACUGAGAUACGGCCCAGACUCCUACGGGAGGCAGCAGUGGGGAAUAUUGCACAAUGGGCGAAAGCCUGAUGCAGCAACGCCGCGUGCGGGAUGACGGCCUUCGGGUUGUAAACCGCUUUCAGCAGGGACGAAGCUUUUGUGACGGUACCUGCAGAAGAAGCACCGGCUAACUACGUGCCAGCCGCCGCCGUAA
rnacentral:rRNA from 1 species